rnacentral:tRNA from 1 species
ACCUGACUGGCUCAGUUGAAAGAGCAUGCAACUCUCGAUCUCGUGGUCGUGAGUUCAAGUCUCAUGUUGGGUA